GGAUACGAUCAUCAAGCACUAAAGCACC
rnacentral:rRNA from 1 species